GUAGUCCACGCCCUAAACGAUGUCGACUAGUUGUCGGAGGGUAACUCCUUCGGUAACGCAGCUAACGCGUGAAGUCGACCGCCUGGGGAGUACGGUCGCAAGAUUAAAACUCAAAGGAAUUGACGGGGACCCGCACAAGCGGUGGAUGAUGUGGAUUAAUUCGAUGCAACGCGAAAAACCUUACCUACCCUUGACAUGCCACUAACGAAGCAGAGAUGCAUUAGGUGCCCGAAAGGGAAGUGGACACAGGUGCUGCAUGGCUGUCGUCAGCUCGUGUCGUGAGAUGUUGGGUUAAG
rnacentral:rRNA from 1 species